rnacentral:tRNA from 2 species
UGCGGGGUGGAGCAGUCUGGUAGCUCGUUGGGCUCAUAACCCAAAGGUCGUAGGUUCAAAUCCUACCCCCGCAACCA